rnacentral:rRNA from 1 species
UACGUAGGGUGCAAGCGUUAUCCGGAAUUAUUGGGCGUAAAGAGCUUGUAGGCGGUUUGUCGCGUCUGCUGUGAAAAUCCGGGGCUCAACCCCGGACUUGCAGUGGGUACGGGCAGACUAGAGUGUGGUAGGGGAGACUGGAAUUCCUGGUGUAGCGGUGAAAUGCGCAGAUAUCAGGAGGAACACCGAUGGCGAAGGCAGGUCUCUGGGCCACUACUGACGCUGAGAAGCGAAAGCAUGGGGAGCGAACAGG